AGUUUUGUCUGGUGAAAAUACUGCAGGGCAACAUGUCCUCUUCAGAAAGUCGCUUUGUGUUUCUAAGCACGUUAUCCAGUCUGCCACGUAAUGGGAGUGCUAAAGCACGUGGCUUCGGAUGACUUGCGCCAUAAUUGUUUCUUUCACUUACAGGAAGAAUGAAGUCCCCAGCUGCAAAAAUGUUGUGGCUAAGAGAUGUACGAAGACCAGUAAGUCCAGUUGGUGGCAUGUUUGGAACGGGCUCUUGUUUCUGCACUAAUGUUCAAAUGUAAUUUUGAAACUCUUAAUAUAGUGUUACAAUAUGUAUGCACUUCUGGUUGGAUAUUUGGAUGUGUUUUUUCAAUAAAAAUGUGAACAGAACCUUAAA